GACAUUGCAGAGAGCCUCAGCUUCUUUCCACACAACGAUGGCUUUCCUUUUCCCCAAUUACAACAGUAACAGAGGCAUCAAGUUACAUAUACACUAUAUCCCUGGGGAUAAGCACUUAUAUAGAUCCACUUUGGGACAUUGGUGUGCAAGUGGCAAAAAGAGUCCUGUCCCAGCACUGCAAGGGGAAGAUAAAGGCUCGUCAUCUGUGCGUGCGUCCAUCUGAGUGGAACGUGUGUCCCGGGGGCUGCUGCCACCGCGCCGGUCCCUCCUGUAAUCCGAGCCCGUGUCAGAGGACGCGGCGCCUGCAAGGAAGAAGGGUUGCCGCAGGUGUGGCCAGAUCCUCUAGGCAAGAGGUGUGGAUUCAGGUCCUACUAGUCUUACUCCUGAUGAAGCUGGGCAAAUCAGUUGGCUCUGGAGUAAUUAGUAGCCCCUUCCUCACUGACCAUUGCAAGUGCACACUGCAGCCUCAAAACUGAGUGGAGGGCCUCCUUUGGAUGACAUGAGACUGCUCAUCGUCAAGAGAACAAUUGAGUUUCUAUCUGACCUAUCUGAAAGUGGAUAGUUGUGCGACCUCAAGCAAGCCACUUCUUUCUUCUGGAUUUGGAGUUUUGUAAUCCAUAUAGCGAACCCACCCCAGUGACCCUGGCAUCUUGCUCUUUCUCAAACCCUGUAGGAGUCCUCAUGCCUCUGCUUCCAAGGCUCCUUCUAUCAUGUUCCCCUUCCCUCAGAUAUCUGCAGCCUCACUUCUUUAUGCCAAAGCGUGUAUCAUUGUUUAGCCUAUUUUACUUUUUUAAAACUUUAUUUUUAGAGCAGUUUUACAUUUAUGAAAGAUUGCACAAAAAAUAAAGUUCCCCUAUAACCCUUCCUCCCCAUCCCCCCUCCCUCAGUUUCCCCUAUUAUUAACAUCUUGCAAUAGUGUGGUCCAUUUGUCAGAAUUAAUGAGUCAAUGUUGAUACAUUAUGGUCUACUAAAUCCCAUAGUUUACAUUAGGGUUCAAUCUUUAAGUUGUGCAUUCUAUGGAUUUUAACAAAUAUAUAAUGAUAUGUAUCUUUCAUUACAGUAUCAUAUAGAAUAAUCCCUUUGCCAAAAAAAAAAAACCCACACACAAACCCUGUAUUCCAUCUACACAUUUCUCCCUCCUUUAUCCCAAACCUCUGUCAACCACUGACCUUUUUACGGUCUCUUCACAGAAUUUCAAAUAGCUGGAAUCAUACAACAUACAGCCUUUUCAGACUAGCUUCUUUCAUUUAGUGAUAUGUAUUUAAGCUUCCUCCAUCACUUUUAAUGCUUGAUAGCUCAUUUCUUUUUAUCAUUGAAUAAUACUCCACUAUAUGGAUAUUUUUCUUUAUCCAUUCACCUAUUGAAAGGAUGUCUUGGUUGCUUCCAACUACUGGAAAUUGUGAAUAAAGUUACUAUAAACAUGAUGUGCAGAUUUUCUUUUGGAUAUACAUUUCCAAUUUAUUUGCAUAAAAAACCAGCAGUGCAAUUGCUGGAAGGUAUGGUAAGCCUACAUAUAGCUUUGUAAAAGACACCAAACUGUCUUUGAAAAUGGCUGUGUUAAUUUACUUUUUUACUCUUAAAAGUUUAACUAUAUGGCUCACCAAUUAUGAAAGUGCCUCUUUUUUUACAGUUCCCUCAAUGGAACCUGUUGCCAAACUUUCAGAUUUUUGCCAUUCUGCUAGGUGAGAAAUUGUAUUCCAGGGUAGUUUUCAUUUAUGGUUCUCUUUGUGUGAGAUCUUGGCAUGUUUCACGUGUUUGAGGGUUACUUGGUUUUCUAUUUCUGUGAACUGGCAAUUCAUAUCUCAUGCUCAUAUUUCAAUCAGGUUCUUAGUGGGUUUUUUGGCCUCUAUUUUUAACAGGUCUAUGUAUACUAAGGGUGUAAAUCUUCCAUCCGUGGUAUAAAUUAGAAAUAUUUUCCCAAAUUUGACAUUUGUCUUUUUACUUUACUUUUUUUUUUUUACUAUGACACAUUGUCUUUAUUGUAGUCAAAUUUAUAAUUCUUUCCCUUAUAACUUACUGAUUUUGAAUUAUAGUUAGAAAAACAUUUCUCUUCUGAGGUUAUGGAAGAAUUCAUCUACUUUUUAAAAUCUCUGAUCCAUUUUGGAAUGUUUUCUGCUGUAAACUGUGAAAGAAAGAUCAAAUUUUAUGUUAUUCCAUAUGGUGAUCCAUGAUCCUAACAUCAUUUAUUAAAAGCUCGACUUUUUUCCCACUGAUAUUUCAGAUGUCAUUUUUAUAUAAGCCAAAUUUCUAUUUGGAAUUGUAGACUCUUUCUGGGUUUUGUAAUUGUUCUGUCCACCUGUUCAUUUAUGCAGGCAUCAAAACAUACCAUUUUCUUUAUAGUUCAUUUAUAAUAUUUUAAUAUCUGGUAAUAAAUAUUUCCCAGUAUUGCUGCAGAAGAAUAUUUUUAUCAAUUAUUAAGAUAUAAUUUAUGUGCAAUAAACUUCAU
ensembl:lncRNA LINC00923 long intergenic non-protein coding RNA 923